UACGUAGGGGGCAAGCGUUGUCCGGAUUUAUUGGGCGUAAAGAGCGUGUAGGCGGCCGUACAGGUCAGCUGUGAAAACUCGAGGCUCAACCUCGAGACGUCGGUUGAAACCGUGUGGCUAGAGUCCGGAAGAGGAGAGUGGAAUUCCCGGUGUAGCGGUGAAAUGCGCAGAUAUCGGGAAGAACACCCGUGGCGAAGGCGGCUCUCUGGGACGGUACUGACGCUGAGACGCGAAAGCGUGGGGAGCGAACAGG
rnacentral:rRNA from 1 species